ensembl:rRNA 5S_rRNA 5S ribosomal RNA
GUUGGCAGCUAGCUCUCUGCAACUCUCACAUGGUCACUCACUGAAGUUAAGCAGGGAUACGCCCGGUCAGUACUUGGAAGGGAGACCACACGGGAAAGCUGGGUUGCUGUCAGAA